ACAUCCUCACUUUUCUGAAACCCUAAAUCCCAAAAUACCGAUUCUCCUUCAAUUGUUCUUCGUCGAUUCAUCAUUCUCAAUGGCCAGUCGGCGCUAGGGUUACGCCGUGAACCCUUGAUAACGACGGAAUUGCAUGCUACAGAACAGACAAUCGAAGCUUUAUUCAUAUCACAAACCCUAUAGCUAAAUUUGUGAGAUUCAUUUUUCAAACAUCGACGAUCUGUGGAUGGUUUUGGUUUCUCUAACGACU